GGAAUUUUUCGCAAUGGGGGCAACCCUGACGAAGCAACGCCGCGUGGGUGAUGAAGUCUCUUGGGACGUAAAACCCUUUCGACGGGGAAGAAACCGCCAGGUUGACGGUACCCGUAGAAGAAGCCCCGGCUAACGCCGUGCCAGCAGCCGCGGUAAGACGGGGGGGGCAAGCGUUGUUCGGAAUUACGGGGCGUAAAGGGCGCGUAGGCGGUUCAUUAAGUUGGAUGUGAAAACUCUGGGCUUAACUCAGAGCCUGCAUUCAAAACUGAUGGGCUGGAGUUCUGGAGGGGAUAGCGGAAUUCCUGGUGUAGCGGUGAAAUGCGUAGAUAUCAGGAGGAACACCGGUGGCGAAGGCGGCUAUCUGGACAGAAACUGACGCUGAGGCGCGAAAGCUAGGGGAGCAAA
rnacentral:rRNA from 1 species